rnacentral:rRNA from 1 species
UACGAAGGGGGCUAGCGUUGCUCGGAAUUACUGGGCGUAAAGGGUGCGUAGGCGGGUCUUUAAGUCCGAGGUGAAAUCCUGGAGCUCAACUCCAGAACUGCCUUUGAUACUGAGGAUCUUGAGUUCGGGAGAGGUGAGUGGAACUGCGAGUGUAGAGGUGAAAUUCGUAGAUAUUCGCAAGAACACCAGUGGCGAAGGCGGCUCACUGGCCCGAUACUGACGCUGAGGCACGAAAGCGUGGGGAGCAAACAGG